CGUUGAUUGCAGUCGUCGUCCCUUUGUAUUCUUCACCAUUCACAUUCUAACCUUCGUAUUUCACUCCUUCCCUCAUUCAUCCUUCUAAUUUCUUCACUUUAUUCCACGAUAAACAUCAAUCUAUACAACAAUGUUAGACAAUUCAUGAUCCGACAACACUUAUCACAAGCUGAAGUCGUUGCCUUCUACAUGGGGUUCUCUAAUCUAUUCACCAUUAAGCUUCAUCACAGUAGCAGAUUCACCCGAUUUCUAGAUAUGGCUUAUGUUGAAGAAAACUGCAAUUUUAUUGACUUGCAAGAUGAAGAUAAGUUCUCUGUGCAUAAACUGGAUUGUAUCGUGGACAAAUUUGGCCUUUUAAAGAACGUUGAAAGGUAUUAUCACUUUCUUGUUCCCGGUGAGAAUCUUGAUUUGGACUAAGGGCUUUGGGGAGUGAUGCAGAUGUUUUAGCUUUUCUCAAAGUUGUUCCUGAGUCUAGGGUUAUGAAUGUGUAUUGUCAGUAUGCUAUAACAACUAUGCAUACGUUUUUCUGCUCCCCAACCAAGCUUAGGGUGUAAGAAAUAACUGAUGAGGAGAUCAUGGCAAUGGAAAACAUCAAGCCAGUAAGAAUAGGUUAUUGUUAGGAUGGAAUGGAAAUGAGAAUGAAGUAGGACAGAGUAGUGUUCAUUAUGAAACAGGACAUAGUAGUGCUCAACCUUUUGGGAAUGGAACUGACAAUGACAAUGACAUAGAAGAUAGUGUUCAACUAGAAACAGGACAUAGUCAUGCUCAAAAUGAAGUAGGAAAAAGUAGCGUUCAUUAUGAAAUUGAUGUUACAAUUGAUGAUCUUGAGUUUGACCCAUUCUUUGGUGAGAAUCCUGUGAAUCAAAGUGAUAAUGUGCAACAUAACUUGAAUGAUGGGGCUGUGAAUCAAAGUGAUAGUGUUCAACAGAACUUGAAUGAUGUGGUUGUGAAUCGAAGUGAGAAUGAUGUGGAUGUUAAUACUAAUCAAGAAGAUGGGGAACAUAAUACCGGUAAGGAUGAUGAUAGUAUGUAUAUGUCUAUAUAUGUGAUCAACAUAACUAACUUAAUUCUAUGAAUGUUUUGAAUACUAGUUACAUGAUGGUGGACCCAUAAAUUA